GAACCUUCGGGGGACGAUAACGGCGUCGAGCGGCGGACGGGUGAGUAAUGCCUAGGAAAUUGCCCUGAUGUGGGGGAUAACCAUUGGAAACGAUGGCUAAUACCGCAUGAUGCCUACGGGCCAAAGAGGGGGACCUUCGGGCCUCUCGCGUCAGGAUAUGCCUAGGUGGGAUUAGCUAGUUGGUGAGGUAAGGGCUCACCAAGGCGACGAUCCCUAGCUGGUCUGAGAGGAUGAUCAGCCACACUGGAACUGAGACACGGUCCAGACUCCUACGGGAGGCAGCAGUGGGGAAUAUUGCACAAUGGGCGCAAGCCUGAUGCAGCCAUGCCGCGUGUGUGAAGAAGGCCUUCGGGUUGUAAAGCACUUUCAGUCGUGAGGAAGGUAGUGUAGUUAAUAGCUGCAUUAUUUGACGUUAGCGACAGAAGAAGCACCGGCUAACUCCGUGCCAGCAGCCGCGGUAAUACGGAGGGUGCGAGCGUUAAUCGGAAUUACUGGGCGUAAAGCGCAUGCAGGUGGUUUGUUAAGUCAGAUGUGAAAGCCCGGGGCUCAACCUCGGAAUUGCAUUUGAAACUGGCAGACUAGAGUACUGUAGAGGGGGGUAGAAUUUCAGGUGUAGCGGUGAAAUGCGUAGAGAUCUGAAGGAAUACCGGUGGCGAAGGCGGCCCCCUGGACAGAUACUGACACUCAGAUGCGAAAGCGUGGGGAGCAAACAGGAUUAGAUACCCUGGUAGUCCACGCCGUAAACGAUGUCUACUUGGAGGUUGUGGCCUUGAGCCGUGGCUUUCGGAGCUAACGCGUUAAGUAGACCGCCUGGGGAGUACGGUCGCAAGAUUAAAACUCAAAUGAAUUGACGGGGGCCCGCACAAGCGGUGGAGCAUGUGGUUUAAUUCGAUGCAACGCGAAGAACCUUACCUACUCUUGACAUCCAGAGAACUUUCCAGAGAUGGAUUGGUGCCUUCGGGAACUCUGAGACAGGUGCUGCAUGGCUGUCGUCAGCUCGUGUUGUGAAAUGUUGGGUUAAGUCCCGCAACGAGCGCAACCCUUAUCCUUGUUUGCCAGCGAGUAAUGUCGGGAACUCCAGGGAGACUGCCGGUGAUAAACCGGAGGAAGGUGGGGACGACGUCAAGUCAUCAUGGCCCUUACGAGUAGGGCUACACACGUGCUACAAUGGCGCAUACAGAGGGCGGCCAACUUGCGAAAGUGAGCGAAUCCCAAAAAGUGCGUCGUAGUCCGGAUUGGAGUCUGCAACUCGACUCCAUGAAGUCGGAAUCGCUAGUAAUCGUGGAUCAGAAUGCCACGGUGAAUACGUUCCCGGGCCUUGUACACACCGCCCGUCACACCAUGGGAGUGGGCUGCAAAAGAAGUAGGUAGUUUAACCUUCGGGGGGACGCUUACCACUUUGUGGUUCAUGACUGGGGUGAAGUCGUAACAA
rnacentral:rRNA from 1 species